rnacentral:rRNA from 1 species
UACGGGGGGGGCAAGCGUUGUUCGGAAUUACUGGGCGUAAAGGGCUCGUAGGCGGCCAACUAAGUCAGACGUGAAAUCCCUCGGCUUAACCGGGGAACUGCGUCUGAUACUGGAUGGCUUGAAUCCGGGAGAGGGAUGCGGAAUUCCAGGUGUAGCGGUGAAAUGCGUAGAUAUCGGGAGGAAUACCAGUGGCGAAGGCGGCUGCCUGGCCUGUUCUUGACGCUGAGGCGCGAAAGCUGGGGGAGCAAACGGG